AUCACUUCUCAGUCUUUUGACUAAGACCAAGUGUAGUAUCUGUUCUUAUCAGUUUAAUAAAUAUAAGUUUACUUCUGGACUCUCG
rnacentral:snRNA from 1 species